UGUAACUGCAGAAGAAGAGACAGUGGAUCCUGUAGCAUCCCAUCUGCAUCAUCAACCAGUUUGGCAGCAGCAGAAGACACUGAAUUCAGUCAUUCAGUACAACAUCUUAUAUUAAGUAGUACAACAUCUCGGAACUGCUGAGAGAGGACCUGUCAAGCCAGGGAUCUUGAAGCAUCCCAUAAUAACAUCAGACGAUACCCGGGAAGCCAAUUUACUGUAAGAUGCGAUUGUCUCAUCAGCUGACUUCACCUUCUGACUGCACUGAGCCGUGUCUUGCUUUUAACGGUGAUCUCAAGACCAUCCAACUCUACUAUUCUAUGAUUCUAAGCUCAUGGACCACUGUUCGUCAAUGGACCACAGUUUGGGAACCUGGCAGUGGCUCGCACACAAAUCAUACAUUGAGAAGGUUGACAACUGCAUCGCAAAAUUCGGAUACGUGCAGAUUUCGAAGGAUGGCUGUGUUUUAGUUCUCAUGUUGUUACUCAAAGUGUGGAUUUGAUAGAAUCAGCAUGAAAUGUGAAGUGACUCAAAUUUCUCCUCCACCAAUAUAGAAGGAACAUGAAUUAUUUCUCUUUAUGUUUGCUUGUU